rnacentral:snoRNA from 13 species
UGCACUAGUGUAUGUUUUUGUUUAAUUUAUGGACAAAGACUGACAUAAGGUGCAAAAAACAAAUCCUCUUUUGCAACCCAGAACUCAUUGAUCAGUAUGAGUUUUGAUACAUAUAAGCAGGAAUAGU